rnacentral:rRNA from 1 species
GAAGGGGGCUAGCGUUGCUCGGAAUUACUGGGCGUAAAGCGCACGUAGGCGGCGAUUCAAGUUAGAUGUGAAAGGCCUGGGCUCAACCCGGGAACUGCAUUUGAUACUGAAUUGCUAGAGUCCAAGAGAGGGUAGUGGAAUUCCCAGUGUAGAGGCGAAAUUCGUAGAUAUUGGGAAGAACACCAGUGGCGAAGGCGGCUACCUGGCUUGGUACUGACGCUCAGGUGCGAAAGCGUGGGGAGCGAACAGGAUUAGAUACCCUGGUAGUCCACGCCGUAAACGAUGGGUGCUAGAUGUCGGGCAGCAUGCUGUUCGGUGUCGUAGCUAACGCGUUAAGCACCCCGCCUGGGGAGUACGGCCGCAAGGUUA